rnacentral:lncRNA from 1 species
CCCAUAUACCUUGGGUUCCUUAUUUCUCUUACCCUAAUCUCUCUCUUUCCAUAGGUACAGGCAAACCCUCUGCUUUUAAGCAGCCAGUGGAGCUAAAAAACUUGUUAUAGGUAGAAAAAUAUUUUGUUUCUCUAAACUAUAAACCAAACAACUUGAAUUCUCUUUGGGGAAAUGUGCUCUUCUGUUAACUCUGGAUUUCUUUCUAGUUCUUGGGAAUGUGGCUUGGACCAGAGUCACCUACAUUCAGCCCCAAAAAGCUAUUUUGAAAUGUG